rnacentral:sRNA from 1 species
AACAGGUCUUAGGUGGUCCCCGCUCUCAGACCUACCCCAUGGCUCACCCAGGCACGCCCUGCUAGGGUUGGAGAACGUGUCUCUGGCUGACAUCCUCUCCCUGCGGGACCGCGGCCUCAGCGAGCAGGAAGCCUGGGCUGUGUGCCUGGAGUGCAGCCUGUCCAUGCGGAGCGUGGCCCACGCUGCCAUCUUCCAGAGCCUGUGCAUCACGCCCGACACCCUGGCCUUCAACACCAGCGGGAACGUGUGUUUCAUGGAGCAGCUCAGCGAUGACCCUGAGGGUGCCUUCGUUCCCCCCGAGUUCGACGUGACCGGGAACACCUUUGAGCCGUCAGCAGCCACCAUGAAUCCUGGGAGCCGCCACGGUAGUCCUUGCCUUGGUUCGUGAGCAGGGCUCCCGCUGUCAGGAGAGCCACCCUCAUCGACGCCGGGCAGCCACAGCAGACAGUCCCUGCGGACAGAGGUGGGAGGCUCGACUCCUCUUCAUCCACCCGUUUUCAAGGCAGUGAGUGUCCCAGCAUCCUCCAACGCGGACCAGUGAGCUUGGUUUUAUGAUCUUAUGAAUUUAAGAUUCGCACAUCUUUGAUGGGAUUUGGUCUGUUCUGCUGAUUCCAGCUGAAGCUCAGAAGGUACCCCG